ensembl:lncRNA
GGACAAUCAGCGAACGAAACACCCCGCACGCCACGGGGAGGGAAAACAGUCACGCAAAUAGAGUAAGACGCUGGGUGAUUUCGUUAGAAACAGUGUUUCCAAAGCCCUUUAAUGUUACCCUAACCUGAGACACAAGGAGCGGGACACGACUGAGCGACUGAACUGAACAGAACCUGAGACAGAAAUUUUCCCUGUGACUACUGGCCAUGCUCUAUGAGACCAACUGAAUGCUUUAAAUGAUAGUUUUACAAAUUGUUUCCUAGUGGAUUCCCAUCUCAAGUAAUUACCAAUAAGCGAUAUUUUGAGUGCUCGUUUAGAGCAUUGUUAACAUCUUUACUUAUACGAUGUCUAGCAGCAUGCAAUUUCUCCCUUACACAAAAGAAGAGGGAUCUUUACAUGCCUAUUCCUAUAUAACAGAGCUAAAGUCUGAUUCUGUAAUGUUUUCCCCAUUUUCAAUUUAAGGGAGAUGGAGACACAUUUCUUCCUGUCUCUUGUUUACUGUUCUGAGGUUUUACAGAUGGCUACUGUAUUGGGUAUAAUAAUUUUGCCUGGAUUUUUAACUGAGGGAGUUUGAGAGCCAAGGAACAAAAUGUGAUGUGUUUUCAAACUUCAGCUUCGUUUAUACUGUAACUUUCACAAAGCAUCUCCUUAAAAGUCCUGUCCUUGUACAAAAUGCAUCAAAGAGACAGUGGAGGCUGGGAAAUUUUUGAGGUUGAAUUUGGAUUUGCAUCUUCAAGGGUCUCUUUGAGCCCGAAGUCUGAGGUGCCAGAGACUGCCCUGUCCUCCCUCCUCCUACCGGCUUCACUCUCCUGGGUCCUUUUGCCUCUCCCCCCGCCCCCAACUUGGGUGGUUUUUUUCGUUCUUUAUGAGGUUCCCACACAUUGUGGCAUGUAUCUUCGAAAAUACACGAGCGACCUAGUGUAACUGUGUGUGAGCAUCCUAUGGUGAGGAUGUAAUGAAAAAGAUCUUGCUUAAAAAGCGAUAAUUACGAUUCAGUCUUCGGUUUUUUCUUCCUCCUAUUUUUCUCGUUAAGUCUGGAGGUUUUAUUUUUGUUAGCAUGUGUUCCCUUGUCCUUUUACAUGUAUUUAGGAAAGCCACAACUCUUUCUUGUUCUUCUUGCUUCCGUUCUCUCAUUAGUUGAGCAAUGUGUUAUGUUUCCCCUUUCCCUUCUCUGUGUCCCCGAUUCCCGCCUCAUCCCCUCUGUCAGAGCAUCUAUCACUGUGGUGUCGAUCACAGCUGCGGCGGCUUCUCUUUCAUCUUCUUCCCAC